GACGAACGCUGGCGGCGUGCUUAACACAUGCAAGUCGAACGGAAAGGCCCUGCUUUUGUGGGGUGCUCGAGUGGCGAACGGGUGAGUAACACGUGAGUAACCUGCCCUUGACUUUGGGAUAACUUCAGGAAACUGGGGCUAAUACCGGAUAGGAGCUCCUGCUGCAUGGUGGGGGUUGGAAAGUUUCGGCGGUUGGGGAUGGACUCGCGGCUUAUCAGCUUGUUGGUGGGGUAGUGGCUUACCAAGGCUUUGACGGGUAGCCGGCCUGAGAGGGUGACCGGCCACAUUGGGACUGUGAUACGGCCCAGACUCCUACGGGAGGCAGCAGUGGGGAAUAUUGCACAAUGGGCGGAAGCCUGAUGCAGCAGCGCCGCGUGCGGGAUGACGGCCUUCGGGUUGUAAACCGCUUUCGCCUGUGACGAAGCGUGAGUGACGGUAAUGGGUAAAGAAGCACCGGCUAACUACGUG
rnacentral:rRNA from 1 species